AACUAUUCCAGAUAUGUGCGAUAUGGCACCACAAAUAGACCACUUACUACUAGACUUUGACGACCUACAGAAAGAGAAGAUAAGAUGGGAACUCAUUGUGACCAAAAUGGUGGAUCAAAAGUCAUGGGACUUGAAUAAGAAAUUUAAAGCUGCAAUAAACUACACCAAAGAAUGGAUGAGAACUCAAUCUAUCACAUGCACUAAAGAUGACAAAUGUAAAAAGCUAGUGCUUAUACAAAAGGACCAGUAUACGAACCUCCUCCUGGCAUUUAUUGCACAAUCAGAGUCAGAAAUACUAAC
rnacentral:lncRNA from 1 species